CUGUGUACUUUUUCUUAUCACUAAAAAAACCAGCUAUUCUCCCCCAAAGUAAAAAAAAAAAAAAAAAAAAAAAAACAGCUCAAUAAUACUCCCUCCGUCCCAGUAUUCAUGGCCUAGUUCUUUUGGGCACGGAUAUUUAGGAGAGUUAUAUUAAGGAGAAAAAGUAGAAGCCAACAUGUUUAAUGUAAUUUUUAAUGAUUAUUAAAUCCGGAUUAAUGAAGUCAAAUAAUGUUCUUCAAUACAACUGUCGCAUAAAUAAAGGCAUCUCCGGUCGCCGUCCGGCCGGUCGGCGGCAGAGAAAUGAAGGAUUCCUCCGGCUGCAAGCACACGCACAAAACCACAACCAACAAUCAGAAAUGAAAUUGAACUAGUAAACACAUUUCGAAAUGAAACAAAACAGAUCAUAAAAAUCAUAUCAUCAAAAAACCACAUCAGUAAACCAGGUAGAUUCUAGAAAUUCGGCGAUCCAGACGUUUCGGCUUUCCCAAAAUCCAGAAAUUCGACAAAAAUUCUCCAAAAAAAUCGCCGAUCCAGAAAUUUCGACCUUCCUCUUGAUCUCCGCGCCUAUGGCUUUAACUACCGCUGCGAAUCCGCCCUUUGUCGUCGAGGAACGGUGGAGGAGAGGAGAAGGCGGCGAGAAGGAACUGGAGACAGUCUUUGCUGCCGCUGUCGCUGCUACAUAUCCGGCGAGCAGUCGUCGCCCCCCUUCGCCUAAUCUGGUGGUGGAAGCGGGGUUUGGGGGUGGAGGCGCGGUUGAGGGUGGAGACAGGAAGGCGGAGGCGGCGUGAAGGAUGGAGGUGGUAGGUCGGCGAAAAUGGAGGAGGCGACGCAGAGGAGAAAGUGAUUUACGGGGAGAGGAGAAAGUGCAGAGAAGAAAGUGAUUUACGGAGAGAGGAGAGAGGUGUGGAUGAAAACCAAAAAAUUAGGGGAAAAAG
rnacentral:lncRNA from 1 species